UACGGAGGAUCCAAGCGUUAUCCGGAAUCAUUGGGUUUAAAGGGUCCGUAGGCGGUUUGGUAAGUCAGUGGUGAAAUCCCUUCGCUCAACGGAGGAACGGCCAUUGAUACUGCCAGACUUGAAUUACUGGGAAGUAACUAGAAUAUGUAGUGUAGCGGUGAAAUGCUUAGAUAUUACAUGGAAUACCAAUUGCGAAGGCAGGUUACUACCAGUGGAUUGACGCUGAUGGGACGAAAGCGAU
rnacentral:rRNA from 1 species